UAAAGCGUGCGCAGGCGGUUAUAUAAGACAGAUGUGAAAUCCCCGGGCUCAACCUGGGAACUGCAUUUGUGACUGUAUAGCUGGAGUGCGGCAGAGGGGGAUGGAAUUCCGCGUGUAGCAGUGAAAUGCGUAGAUAUGCGGAGGAACACCGAUGGCGAAGGCAAUCCCCUGGGCCUGCACUGACGCUCAUGCACGAAAGCGUGGGGAGCAAACAGGAUUAGAUCCCGUGU
rnacentral:rRNA from 1 species